AGAAAAGGUAAAUUUUUUUCUUGUCUAUGGACUUGGAAAAAUGUUAUAAAGUUGAUAAACUGCAGAUAAAAUACAAAUGAAAGAGCACACUUCUGAA